UCACCUAGAGAUCUUGUUAAAUGACGAUUCUGGUUCAGUAACUCUGGAAUGGGCUCUGAGAUUUUGCAGUUCUAACAAGUUCCCAGGCGAUGCCACU
rnacentral:pre_miRNA from 1 species